CCAAUAGUGUAUAUUAAAGUUGUUGCAGUUAAAAAGCUCGUAGUUGAAUUUCGAGACUGGUCUACUGGUCGUUCUUUUGUACGUACUGGUAUAAUCGGUUUCUCUCUUCUGACAAACUAUAAUGCCAUUAAUUUGGUGUUUUAGGGAAUCAGGACUGUUACUUUGAAAAAAUUAGAGUGUUUAAAGCAGGCUCACGUUUGAAUACAUUAGCAUGGAAUAACGAAAUAGGACGUUUGAUUCUAUUUUGUUGGUUUCUAGGAUCGACGUAAUGAUUAAUAGGGAUAGUUGGGGGCAUUAGUAUUCAAUUGUCAGAGGUGAAAUUCUUGGAUUUAUUGAAGACUAACUACUGCGAAAGCAUUUGCCAAGGAUGUUUUCAUUAAUCAAGAACGAAAGUUAGGGGAUCGAAGACGAUCAGAUACCGUCGUAGUCUUAACCAUAAACUAUGCCGACUAGGGGUCGGAUGAUGUUAAUUUUUUAAUGACUCAUUCGGCGCCUUACG
rnacentral:rRNA from 1 species